AAGUCGUAACAAGGUUUCCGUAGGUGAACAUGCGGAAGGAUCAUUAUCGAAUAAAUUUUGAACAGGCUGUUUGCCGACGCCCUCCUCCAAGGAAGGAGGGCGUAUGUGCACGCUUGUCAUCUUUAUCAUUUCUCCAACUUGUGCACAUAUUGUAGACCUUUGGGAGCUUUUGAACAUUUUGUUGUUUCGAGUCGGGACUGCUGUGCCUUUUUGAUUUCAAAGGGUCGGCUUUUUCUUGCACUCCCAAGGUCUAUGUCAUUUUUUCACAACCUCUCAAAUGUGUUUAGAAUGUCGAAUGAAUAUAUAAAGUUUUAUACAACUUUCAGCAACGGAUCUCUUGGCUCUCGCAUCGAUGAAGAACGCAGCGAAAUGCGAUAAGUAAUGUGAAUUGCAGAAUUCAGUGAAUCAUCGAAUCUUUGAACGCAUCUUGCGCUCCUUGGUAUUCCGAGGAGCAUGCCUGUUUGAGUGUCAUUUUAACUUCUCUCAACUGCAUCAGAAUUUUGUUUUGAUGUGGCUUGGAUAUGGGGGGAUAUGCAGGCUUCUACACAAGUCGGCUCUCCUGAAAUGCAUUAGUGGUAUCCGAGCUGCUAUUAUAGGUGUGAUAAAUUAUCUAUGCCUUUGGUAUGCUGGGUCGCACCGCUUCUAACGAGUGGAAGCCAUGAUGCCAUGGUUUCUUUUGACGAAUUUGACCUCAAAUCAGGUAGGACUACCCGCUGAACUUAA
rnacentral:rRNA from 1 species